GCCACGGUGGUCUAGCGGUUGAACGCUGGCCUUGUAAUCCUGGGGUCCCGGGUUCGAUUCCCGGCGGUGCCG
rnacentral:tRNA from 1 species